UACAGAGGGGGCAAGCGUUGUUCGGAAUUACUGGGCGUAAAGGGCGCGUAGGCGGCCCGCUAAGUCGAACGUGAAAUCCCCGAGCUCAACUCGGGAACUGCGUCCGAUACUGGCGGGCUUGAAUCCGGGAGAGGGAUGCGGAAUUCCAGGUGUAGCGGUGAAAUGCGUAGAGAUGUGGAGGAAUACCGAUGGCGAAGGCAGCCCCCUGGGCCAAUACUGACGCUCAUGCACGAAAGCGUGGGGAGCAAACAGG
rnacentral:rRNA from 1 species